rnacentral:lncRNA from 1 species
GAUCUUCUAUGGAUCUAUUUUAGGUUUUAUUUGCAAUUGGAACCUUGGUAAUUAUGAAAAUCAUGUAAUUAGGACUAGACGAAGACUCAGAGCUGAAGUUGAAGCCGGAGUUGAUCAAGGACUUCUACGAAGGGGAAGCAACUCCAGGUUCACACCCAUUCGAUUUGAAUACCUAUUACGCAUUGCUAUUAGUAUGCUAGUGCUUUAUUUCUUUUCAGCAUGAUGAUGAACCCUACAGAGCCUAUUUUCAUGCCUUGAUUCCUUAUGUGUCCUAUUACUAUACUACUUGUACACGCUAUUGCGAUGCUUGCAUGUGUGCGGGAUAUGGUGAUUAGGAUUCUUAGCGUGAGUGGGGAUAAAACUUGCAGGACAAGAUGUUUUUGGGAUAUUUGAUGGGGGUGAGCUUUACACAACCCAAUCGUUAGAUUCCGGGCUUGGGGUUCAUUCUCAGAUGUUCCCUGCUUCAUACUUGUUGCGAGUACAUGGUUGAGGAGCAUAGGAGUUUGUGGUGGUACCUAUAAUGGGUGAUGUUGCAUCCUCUGCGGUGAGGUGCUUUUGUGGGAGAUUAGGAGCUUGCCCCGGUCUGAAACCGAGUGGGUCACCAUUCUUCAUGGGAAUAUGUCAAACAUGCACACCACUCGCCGAAUUAUGGGUUUAGGCUUGGGUCGAGAUAGGAAAGUGCGUACCAUACCUACUGUAGAUUAGAGUGACGGUGUUAGGGGGAGGAGGGGUGUGGACCCAUAGCCUCCCCUAUGCAUAGCCCCUGACUGGCCCUAGAGGGAGGGCUUCACAGUACCGGGGUGUUCCACUGCGGGGGAUCGCAUCCGAGCCCAGUAACAGGAUGGUAUCAUAACUUUCAGGGUCUUUGCCUGGUAGGGUGAUGUUCAAUCGGCUAAUAAUCGGUUGCGCUCACCCCGAGAUGGGUACAGGUGUACACACUCUGCAGAGUUAAAACUAUACGUAUAGCCGUGUCCUUAGUCAUGGACAACCCUAUGAUAUCACGAAUCUCCAUUGUUUUGGGAUAUUCUAACUCCCCUUUUAGCUACUUAUGAGUGUGGUGAGCCAUAAUUGUUGUCAGGGAGAGGAGAAGUUGCUCGCUUCUGCCUUUUGGAUCCAGCUGUAGUUGUUGAGAUGUGAAGAGAGGGAGCUUUUGCAUCGAUCCUAGUCUGGAGUUAGGAUGUUGGUGAUAGGGACCCUAUUGAGGCAGGUGUGCCCAAUGUGAUGAGGGAUUGGGAUGGUGGAUAUGGAAGUUUAUUCUUUAUGCUUGCUACUGCUUAGGAAACCCGAGCCUACUCCUUGUCUACUUUUUGACCCUUAGUAUUUAGGCCACUUAAAGCUUGCAUACGGAAGGUGUUGUGGACCUGUCCUAUUUCUUGGGGACUGUUCGUGAGUGUGCAGGUAUGGACUUAGAGAGGAGGACUGAUCAUGAAGAAUUCCUGAAGGAAGGGUCGCAUCGCUUCGCUCAAGGCCUGUAGGAAGGUGGUGAAGAUCGAAGAUGAAGACUUGAAGCUCUAGUUUCUGCUGCAUAUGAGUUUUGUGUGUCAUUUAACCCAAGGGACAUGAAUCCUAUUCGUAUUCCGAGUUGAAUCGGUUGUAAAUCUCAAUGUUGUACUCUGAUUUCAAUGUAUGGAAUUGAUAUUAUGCUUAAAUCAGUUCUGUACGUGAUAGCUACUGAUCCAGGGACUAUCGCAAGGGUACAGGGAGUCGGAUUUUCAUAAAUGAAAACCAGUUCGUUUCAGUUGGUAUCAGAGCCAUACUUGACUGUAGUGCGUGACCCUAGGCAUGGACGUUAGCAAUAAGGAAUCCCCGAUGCUCUGUUGCUAUAUAUAUUCCUUGAUUGUUAUAUAACUUCAUUGAUUUACCACUGCUACCUUGAUUUCUCUAACAUAAAUGAGUUCUAACAAGCCUUAACUGCGUGUAACAGAUGGCGACUGAAGAUUGACGCUCGUUCUCUAGGAAUAGAGAGGGCUAUAGAGGCUUCUACACCCUUCUCAAGGAGUGCUUGGAGGAGGCUGGAGUCAGUACUCAAGGCGUGUGUCGAGCAUACAUCCAUGGGCCUACCAGAAGGUUUGUACGGAUCCACAUACGGAGAAGUACAUCGAGAUGUAUUAGGAUAGGGAGACUACGGUACAAGAUGGCAUGGUCUACAUGGAGUCCAGGGGACUAGUCGGAGGCUAGGAAACUACUCUUCAGAGUUAGAGUAGAACUCUGUAGUUGAAUCCGACUAGUACUCUUGUAAAAAAAAACCCUGUAACCCUGCUUCCCCAAUAUAUAAGAGCAGGCAGGGACCCCCUCAAAACAAGUUCAAU